rnacentral:sRNA from 1 species
AAGAACAAACAUAAAAAA